AUCGCUUCUUGGCCUUUUGGCUAAGAUCAAGUGUACUAUUUUAGAUGCUAAUAGCCAUAUUAUGCUCUUGUUUAUUUCACUUCAUUUGAAAGUCUUGAACAUGACAACAUUAUUUUUUGUGCUUGUGUUUCUGUGUAUGUGUGUCUGGACAUGCCCUUCAUUGUCUCAUGUCCCACCAAACAAUUAUA